rnacentral:rRNA from 1 species
CCUACGGGUGGCAGCAGUGAGGAAUAUUGGUCAAUGGACGAGAGUCUGAACCAGCCACGUCGCGUGAAGGAUGACUGCCCUAUGGGUUGUAAACUUCUUUUAUAAAGGAAUAAAACGAGGCACGUGUGCCUGUUUGCAUGUACUUUAUGAUUACGGCAAGGCUAACUCCGUGCCAGCGGCCGCGGUAAUACGGAGGAUCCGAGCGUUAUCCGGAUUUAUUGGGUUUAACGGGAGCGUAGAUGGGUUGUUAAGUUAGUUGUGAAAAUUUGCGGCUCAACCGUAAAAUUGCAAUUGAUACUGGCAGUCUUGAUUACAGUUGAGGUAGGCGGAAUUCGUAGUGUAGCGGUGAAAUGCUUAGAUAUCACGAAGAACCCCGAUUGCGAAGGCAGCUUACUAAACUGUGACUGACAUUGAUGCUCGAAAGUGUGGGUAUCAAACAGGAUUAGAUACCCGGGUAGUC